CCUACGGGAGGCAGCAGUGGGGAAUUUUCCGCAAUGGGCGAAAGCCUGACGGAGCAACGCCGCGUGAGGGAUGAAGGCCUCUGGGCUGUAAACCUCUUUUAUCAAGGAAGAAGAUCUGACGGUACUUGAUGAAUAAGCCACGGCUAAUUCCGUGCCAGCAGCCGCGGUAAUACGGGAGUGGCAAGCGUUAUCCGGAAUUAUUGGGCGUAAAGCGUCCGCAGGCGGCCCUUCAAGUCUGCUGUUAAAAAGUGGAGCUUAACUCCAUCAUGGCAGUGGAAACUGAGGGGCUUGAGUGUGGUAGGGGCAGAGGGAAUUCCCGGUGUAGCGGUGAAAUGCGUAGAUAUCGGGAAGAACACCAGUGGCGAAGGCGCUCUGCUGGGCCAUCACUGACGCUCAUGGACGAAAGCCAGGGGAGCGAAAGGGAUUAGAUACCCCUGUAGUCCUGGCCGUAAACGAUGAACACUAGGUGUCGGGGGAAUCGACCCCUCCGGUGUCGUAGCCAACGCGUUAAGUGUUCCGCCUGGGGAGUACGCACGCAAGUGUGAAACUCAAAGGAAUUGACGG
rnacentral:rRNA from 1 species